UGACAUUGUUGUAAUAUCUUUGUAAACAUGUCUCUUUGCUUUUAAGCCACCUGUGCCUGCACCUACCUGUCAACCUACUGUGUGCUUAUUUUUUAUCUUUAACUGGUCAUAAACUGUCCCCGUCUGCCUCGGCUAUCUGCGUUUCAGCUUCCCUUUUCUCCUGCCGGACAGCAUGGCUAAAUAAAGUGCACAGUGCGCCACAGGAGCCACUGCAGAGGGGCGAAAGAGCCGCAUGUGGUUCUGGAGCCACAGGUUGCCUACCCCUGGCCAUGAAGGUGGAGGGGAUGUGAAUGGUGUGAAACCUGGAUGAGACUAGCAGCAGAGAGCAGCAGACCACUGUUCAACACCAACAAACAACGAAAGCGGGUAUUUUAAGGAAACUUUGGGACAUCAGCCAUGUUUGUUGCAACCAAAUCGGGUAUUUUGAACCAAAACAUGAUGUUUUCCCAACCCUACCCAAAUGGUUUCUGUGCCUAAACCUGACCAUAUAUUGUCCACAGCAUUGUCACAACAUAAAUGUAAGAGUUGAAAUGAAAAUA